UACGUAGGGACCAAGCGUUGUCCGGAAUCAUUGGGCGUAAAGCGCGCGUAGGUGGCCAUUUAAGUCCGCUGUGAAAGUCAGAGGCUCAACCUUUGAAAGCCGGUGGAUACUGGAUGGCUAGAGUACGGAAGAGGCGAGUGGAAUUCCUGGUGUAGCGGUGGAAUGCGCAGAUAUCAGGAGGAACACCAAUAGCGAAGGCAGCUCGCUGGGACGUUACUGACACUAAGGCGCGAAAGCGCGGGGAGCGAACGGG
rnacentral:rRNA from 1 species